rfam:Mesorhizobium alhagi CCNWXJ12-2 contig223, whole genome shotgun sequence.
CCACCAGACCGGGCCCCUCUGGCAGCUCCCACGAGCUGUGAUGUCGGACUGGCAUU